rnacentral:tRNA from 1 species
GGUCUUGUGGUCUAGUGGUAUGAUUCUCGCUUAGGGUUCAACCCAAGCACUGCUUGCGAGAGGCCCCGCGUUCGAGUCGCGGCAAGACCC